rnacentral:tRNA from 1 species
GCCAGAGUGGUGAAACUGGUAUACACGCUGUCUUCAGAGGGCAGUUUCCGUAAGGAAGUGUGGGUUCAAAUCCCACCUCUGGCA